GAUGAUGUAAUUUUGAGGAAUAU
rnacentral:snRNA from 1 species